UUGUUUAAUCUCAAAGAUUACUCUGUCAGGAGUAAUCUUGUAUAAAUUUGAUUUUUUUUUUUUUUUGCUUUGACACAUGAUUGAUUUUUCUUUCUCUGACACUAGACUUCAAGCAAUAUUAGAGAAUGAAAAGGGGUAACAACAUUACUGAUUAAAAUGUUGUUUGAUUUACUUUUAUGACAGAUUAUUUAUUGAAGUCUUCAAGAAACCUGUUUUGUAGCUUGAGGUUAUAGUAUUCCCAGGAACUUUCUUUAAAAUUUUUAUCAAUUAAUAUUUCCUAAAUACAUAGAUUGUGACACUUGAUUUAUAAGUAUAUGUUAUAAUAUGAAUGGAAACUCCUAGGAAUCAUGAGAUUGAAUAAACUGGUAUUCACAGUAAAUGUGCAGGUGAGUUUAAGGUUAUACUAGUGAUUUUGAACUCAAUGAUAAAAUACUGUGCUAUCUUUGUCAUUGUUUUUUAACAAUAUAAAGUUGCAAUUUUGCCCUGUGAGUACAAGAAGGAUGUUUUAUUUGCUCCUGUUUUUCUUCAUCCUAUAGCACAGUACUUGGAAAUUGGAAGAUGCUCCAGAAAUCAUUGUUGAGCUGUAGUUUUCUAGGUAGGAAAAUGUCAAUGGUAUGAUAGUAUGCCAAGUGACCAUCGCUACCAUGAGCUGCUUUGUUCAGUAAGCCAUAAUUUUUUCUUUCUGGGCUGAAUGCUGCAGCUGAUUCAAAGUAAUAAAGGCGAGAGAUUCUUUCUGACAUGCAGAAUGAGACAAAAAAAUUAAUCAAAUCUUGUCAUCAGUCAGUCACUGAAUAUGCAUCAGGAUUCUGCUUUACUCAUUGAGUGUCUCUGUUGCAACAUAAUUACCAAAUGCUCUUAUUUAUCAUUUAGUGCUAAAUGAAUGCAUCCACCUUUUAUACUUAGGCUUAGAGUGUCCUGGGUUUCAACAGUACUCUUUGGUCCUGCCUUUCUUUCUUCACCCUUUCCUCCUUCUUACCUUCCUUCUCUCCUCUCUCUUUUUCUUAUCUUUUCUUCUUUUCUACAGUUCAUUAUGUUUUAUGUACAUAGUCUAAAUUACAUGGUUUUGUAAUUUAGUUUAGCUAUUGAGUUUUAGUAAGUUAGUUUAAUUCUAAAUAUCUGCUCUUUUUAUUUUUUAAGAGACAGAGUCUCACUUUUUUGCCCAAGCUAGAGUGCUUUAGUGCAAGUAUAUCUCAGUGUAGCCUCAAAUUUCUAGGCUGUGGAGAUCCUCAUGCCUCAGCUUUCUGAGUAGCUGGGACUACAAGUGUGUACCACCUCACCCAGUUAUUUUUUAAAACAUUUUAUACAGACUGGGUCUCAGUAUGUUGCCCAGGCUGGUCUUGAACUCCUGGCUUCAAGUGAUCCUCCCACUUCAGCCUCUCAAAGUGCUGGGAUUACAGGUGUGAUACACUGUGCCUGGCCUCUGCUGUCUCCUUCUUUUUUACUAUUAUGUGUGGUUCUUUAGUUAGUAGCCAUAACUUUUCUUUGUAGCUUUGGGAGGCACAGCUUUGGCUCUGAGAGGACCUUUGCAUCUAUGACUAUGAAGUCUUGUAUCAACAAUUAAUGCUUCUGAGAAGUGGACAGUUAUGCUACAUCUCUUGAGCUACCCUGGAGAGAACAAGUUAGAAACAACCUUAAAACAAAUGCAUCCAUUUGCCCAGUAAAUACAGUGAGGUUUCAAUAUGUGGAAAGCAUUCUGCAGACACUGUUAUGGGAGAGAGUUGAAUCAAGAUAAUGAUGCGUCUUUCCCUAUAGUGUAAAGAUUGAACCAAAGACUGAACUUCUAAAUUGAUCUUUAUAAUAAGCUAAAACAUAUAUUCUUAAAGCUCAAAGUUAUUUUUUAUUCCUAAUGAGAUGUUAUUUGAAUAAAAUCACAUAAAAAAUAUGUACAGAUUAUUUUAUUAUUUAUGUAUUUGAUAACAUACUUGAUAGAAGGAAAAUUUUGCCCAAGCAUGAGAUUAUACCCAGAUGCUUUUUAUCAUUAAGAACUUCUGUCUAGUGUUUUUUUCUAGAUUUGCAGCAUAAUAAUCAGUAUCCUUUAUUGUAUGCCUAUUAUAGCCAGGACGUUUGCAAGUGUUUAAUUGGAGAAACAUAUUAGUAUAGCGGUUAUGAUUAUGGUCUUUGUGGUUGAAUGUGAAUUCAACUUCCAUUGCUGUUGUUUAUUAGUGUUGUGGAAAUUUAUUAAGUUUUGUGAGCAUAGAUUUCCUUCUUUGUAAAAAGAGGAUUAUAGUAUCUCUCUAUAAAAUUAUUUGUGUGGUUAACUGGUACAAGCCAUGUAACCUCACAUUAUAUAUAAUGUGACUAUAUUGUGAUAUAUAUGUAUAUAUAUUAUGUGUAUAAAAUAAAAUACAUAUGUAAUAGCUCAUGUUGUUUCCUUUCAGUUCUCAUUUCAUUUCUAUGUGCCAGGCUCUUGCCCUCCAAGAGUUCUGAAAUUUGGCUAAGGUCACCAACUGGGUUGCUGGGACUCAAACCCACUUCAUUCAGAUUCAAAAUCCACAGCCUUUCUAAUGUACCAUACUGCCAUGUAUUACAGUCACUUUUCUCGCUAGCACAGCAUGAUGCAGCAGUGUGCUGAUGGUUCUUUUCAGUCCCUCUAAAGGGCUUUUAUCUGAAAGUGUUCUCCCAGAAGUCUUCCCAUAUUCUUUUUCUAAAAGUUUGUACUCACUUAGGUUCAUUCUGGUUAGUGUUAUGCUCCAAGUUAGCCUAUAUUCUUAGCCUAUAAACCUGAUUUCUACUUGGAGAAAAACAUUACCAUAUAACUAUUAAUAUAAAGGGAAUCUAUACUAGUUUUUGUUAAAUGUAAGCAUGAAAGGUUGUUUUUCUGUAGGAGAAAAAAAAAUGUGUGAAUUUCAUUCAGUCCCUGCAUUGUACUUAGGUCUUUUUAGGCUGCAUAUUUGGAAAAUGAAGGAAAUAUCCCUAUACUUUUUACUUUGAGAAGUACAAGGGACCCUAUGCUGUAGUAGCAGAAUCAGAUUGCUCUGUUUAAAUCCCAUCAUUAUUUAGCCAAUAGUUCCAAACUUUGAAGUGUUAAAUCAAUUGUGCUAUGUUUCAAAAGUAAUUUGUUGCUAAAAAGUAGUCAAAGUACUCAUGUUUUCAGAUGAUAUACUUUUUAAUUAAAAAAUAUUUUAUAGAUUAGGUAUGAUUCCAGGUUGUUACAGUAAUUAUAGCAUUGUCAUGUAUUUGUGCUUUUACAUUUUCUCUGGUAAGAAAAAGGUAGAAUUACAUAUAGAGUCAUAGAUAUAUUCAAAAGUGAAUUACUUAUGUGAAUGCCACCUCAUUAGUCUCCAUCAGGAAAAAAAAAAGAAAAAAAAACUAAUUCAGUAAAAUAACUUUGGGUAACAACUGUGUGCUGAAAUUUAAAAAUAUGUAUACAGAUGGCCCCCUACUUACAAUAGUUCAACAAGAUUAUUCUUUACCAUGGUGCAAAAUCAAAACACAUUCAGUAGAAAGAAAGCAGUAUGAUGCUCUCUCCUGAUGCUGAACAGUGGCCAGAGCUGCCUGUCAGCCACAGGAUCACUAGGUAAACAACUGAUACUCUGCAGCAUAUUGUGUUGCCAGAUUAUUUUGCCCAACUCUAGGUUAAUGGAAGUGUUCAGAGCAGAAUAAGGUAGGCUAGAGUAAGCUAUGACUUUCCUUAGGUUAGGUAUAUUAAAUGCAUUUUUUGACUUAUAAUGUUUUCAACUUACAGUUUAUUUAUCAGGAUGUAACCCCACUGCAAGUUGAGCAUUUUAUAACAUAUUUCAUCAAUCGCUAUAUAUCUGUAUUUACCUAUAUCUGUAAAUACACAUACACACACAUACACAUGCACACAUACACAUACAAGCUCAGAGAGAAAUGCUGUGAGCAAUAGGACACUAGUGUCUGGAAUACUUCAUUUCUGAAGAAAACAAAA